rnacentral:rRNA from 1 species
AUACGUACUGCGCAAACGUUAUUCGGAAUCACUGGGCUUACAGGGUGCGUAGGCGGUUCGCCAGGUCAGAUGUGAAAUCCCACAGCUCAACUGUGGAACUGCAUUUGAAACCUGCGAACUUGAGUAGACUAGAGGUACACGGAACUUCAGGUGGAGCGGUGAAAUGUGUUGAGAUCUGAAGGAACACCAGAGGCGAAAGCGGUGUACUGCAGUCUGUCUGACGCUGAGGCACGAAAGCUAGGGGAGCGAACGGGAUUAGAAACCCCAGUAGUCC